UGAACGGCACCACGAGGGCUUUACUGUCUCCUCCCUUCCAUCAGUGAAACUGACCUCCCUGUGAAGAGGCAGGGAUACUACUAUAAGACGAGAAGACCCCAUGGAGCUUUAAACCCAACAACAGCCCAAACACCACCACCCCUAAAAAGUUUUAAGGGUAUUGUUAGUUGGUUUUAGGUUGGGGUGACCGCGGAGUAUAAAAUAUCCUCCACGACGAACGGGCCUACCCCCUUACCCAAGAGCUACACCUCUCAGGAUUAACACAUUAACGUAAAAUGACCCAAAUAUUUGAUCAACGAACCAAGUUACCCUGGGGAUAACAGCGCAAUCCAUUUUUAGAGCCCCUAUCGACAAAUGGGUUUACGACCUCGAUGUUGGAUCAGGGUAUCCAGGAGGUG
rnacentral:rRNA from 1 species